GUCAAGUGCGGCUGCUAUACAUGCAAGUCGAGCGCGGGAAGCCGGCGGACUCCUUCGGGAGGAAACCGGUGGAACGAGCGGCGGACGGGUGAGUAACACGUGGGCAACCUGCCGGACUGAUGGGAAUAACCCCGGGAAACCGGGGCUAAUGCCCAAUACGCCCUGACCUCGCCUGAGGUCAGCGGCAAAGCAGGGAUCUUCGGAUCCUUGCACAGUCCGAUGGGCCCGCGGCGCAUUAGCUAGUUGGAGAGGUAAGGGCUCCCCAAGGCGACGAUGCGUAGCCGACCUGAGAGGGUGAUCGGCCACACUGGGACUGAGACACGGCCCAGACUCCUACGGGAGGCAGCAGUAGGGAAUCAUCCGCAAUGGGCGAAAGCCUGACGGUGCAACGCCGCGUGAGUGAUGAAGGUUUUCGGAUCGUAAAGCUCUGUUGACAGGGAAGAACCCACGCCAGUCGAACAGGCUGGCGUGCUGACGGUACCUGUCCAGAAAGCCCCGGCUAACUACGUGCCAGCAGCCGCGGUAAUACGUAGGGGGCAAGCGUUGUCCGGAAUUAUUGGGCGUAAAGGGCACGCAGGCGGUUUCGUCAGUCCGAUGUGACAGGCCACGGCUCAACCGUGGAAGGCCAUUGGAAACUGCGAAACUUGAGGACAGAAGAGGAGAGUGGAAUUCCACGUGUAGCGGUGAAAUGCGUAGAUAUGUGGAGGAACACCAGUGGCGAAGGCGACUCUCUGGUCUGUACCUGACGCUGAGGUGCGAAAGCAUGGGGAGCAAACAGGAUUAGAUACCCUGGUAGUCCAUGCCGUAAACGCUGAGUGCUAGGUGUUAGGGGUUUCGAUACCCGUAGUGCCGAAGCUAACGCAUUAAGCACUCCGCCUGGGGAGUACGACCGCAAGGUUGAAACUCAAAGGAAUUGACGGGGCCCGCACAAGCGGUGGAGCAUGUGGUUUAAUUCGACGCAACGCGAAGAACCUUACCAGAUCUUGACAUCUUCCGCUACGCCUCGAGAGAGCGUUCCCCUUCGGGGACGGAUGACAGUGUGCAUGUUGUCGUCAGCUCGUGUCGUGAGAUGUGGUAGUCCCGCAACGAGCGCAUCCCCUAUCUAGUGCAGCAUUCAGUGGGUCACCUCUAGGUGACUGCAGUGACUACCGAGCAGGUGGGAUGACGUCAAUCAUCAUGCCGUUAUGAUCUGGCUACACGUCUCAUGAUGAUCACUACGAACUCGCCAGGCAACCAUCCAAAAAAC
rnacentral:rRNA from 1 species